AGCGAACGCUGGCGGCAGGCCUAACACAUGCAAGUCGAGCGCCCAGCAAUGGGAGCGGCAGACGGGAUAGUAACACGUGGGAACGUACCUUUCAGUUCGGAACAACCCAGGGAAACUUGGGCUAAUACCGAAUACGUCCGUAAGGAGAAAGAUUUAUCGCUGAAAGAUCGGCCCGCGUCUGAUUAGCUAGUUGGUGAGGUAAUGGCUCACCAAGGCGACGAUCAGUAGCNGGUCUGAGAGGAUGAUCAGCAUCACUGGGACUGAGACACGGCCCAGACUCCUACGGGAGGCAGCAGUGGGGAAUAUUGGACAAUGGGCGCAAGCCUGAUCCAGCCAUGCCGCGUGGAUGAUGAAGGCCUUAGGGUUGUAAAGUCCUUUCGGCGGGGAAGAUAAUGACGGUACCCGCAGAAGAAGCCCCGGCUAACUUCGUGCCAGCCGCCGCGGUAAG
rnacentral:rRNA from 1 species